UACGAAGGGGGCGAGCGUUGUUCGGAUUUACUGGGCGUAAAGGGCGCGCAGGCGGCAGAUCAAGUCAGAUGUGAAAGCCCCGGGCUUAACCUGGGAACUGCAUUUGGGACUGGUUUGCUAGAGAUCGGGAGAGGAGAGUGGAAUUCCCAGUGUAGAGGUGAAAUUCGUAGAUAUUGGGAAGAACACCGGUGGCGAAGGCGGCUCUCUGGGGGCGAUCUGACGCUGAUGCGCGAAAGCGUGGGGAGCAAACCGG
rnacentral:rRNA from 1 species